AGUAGUAACAUCUUAGUUAUCGAGAAAACCACUAAUAAAAUUACCAAUCAAUUAUAAUGUUAAAGCACUUCUACAAUAACAGUAACUUUUUUAUUUUCGUGGUUUUUGGAAUUACGAAAAAUUAGUCAGAAACUUCAUCUGAUUCAUCAAUACUUUCUAUUAUCACCUUUUGAUUAGUAUAUACCACUCCAAACCUGUUUUGUAAAGUAUAUUAGUCAACGAGAUACAAAGAUUAAUCCUUCAACCAACUCGAGUAUUUCUGUGUUCAAUACCAACUACAUUUUAGAUAAAAUAGAGAAACCAUAAAUCUAAAAAAUCACCAAUAUCAAGAUUAGACAGUAUGCAUUAUAAACUGCUUGUUGUGAUUUUUAUUUUAAAUAUAGUGAUGGGGUGUAAAAGUGAUACUAACUCGAGAAUAUGGAAUCCUGAUGAACUUGAGGAGUUGUUAAGGCAAAUUGAAGAAAGAAAACAUUUUAUCAAAGCUACAGUCCAUCCUAAGAUUGAAGUAAACAUGAGAAACCUUCUUCAAUUUAGAUGUUUUCCGGGAUAUGUACAUGUAAGGGGAAAAUGCAGGGAAAUUCAACAGUAAACUAAAUGUCCAUACUUGGGAUGUUUUGUGAUAUUAAUGUAGGCUGUAAACUGUAGGAUUAUCUCAACAGUAUUAAAUAUUAUCUUUCUGUAGUUAAGAAAAGUAGAUUAACGAGUAACUAUCAUUUCCAGAAAAAUAUUAAUGAUUAUUUAAUAAACCUUCAUUAAUAGAAAACCAUAAGUAGUCCACUUACUGACGGUAAAUAUUGCAAAACCUCCAAAUUUUAAAGAACCGCUUAGAUCGAUAUGAAAUUUGGCAUACAUAUAGAUAACAUGCCAAAAAAGUGAUAUUGUGCCGAUGUGUGCGGGUUUUCACCCCUUGUCAGUUGUGAAAAAAUAUAUGUUCAAAAUAAGUCCCGAAAUAAAUAAACUGUCUGAUUCUAAACAACUUUUAUUCCAUUGCGUUUUUUCACUAAGUUAAUAUUUUUCGAGUUAUUUGCUAGUGAAUAUAUUUAUUUUUCAACAAAAAACUUAAGCACUUUAUGGGGAAAACUGAUUACAUCUUUUUGAAAGCGUUUAAAAAGGCUUUAUUUUUGUUUUUUUAAAGAAGCUUAUAGCUUCAAAAAUAGGCAAGUUUCGCCCAAAAUAAAGUUGGUUCCUUUUUUUGGUAAACAAAUCAUGAAAAUCGCCCCCUAAUUAGCAUCCCAAAGGAAAUUAUUUGUUACCGCUUUACUGGUGAAUAUAUUGUUUAUAUGAUCUGUAAGUUUCUUCGGUUCAAAGUCCUUAUUUCUGAAAAGGCUGUAGUUGAAAGGGCUUGAAGGAGUCACUAAUCAUGAGUGUAUGCACAUUUUGAACAGCCAUAUCUUAACCAAUUUUUGUCUUACAGGAAAACAAAAAAAAUCCAAAAUAUUCAGAAAAGCAAAAUUUGAUUUUUUUUUACUGUUUGAGAUUUUUGGUAUCACUAAAAUUUUUUAAGUGAUUUCAAAGUUGUAAAAAAGCAUUUUUUCAAAAUUAAAAAAAUUUUAUUUUAGAACCCAAUUUUUUCAAAAAUAAGCAGUUUGAACCAGACACUUACAUAUCAUAUAAAUAAAGAACUUGUGAAGCGGUAACGAUUAAUUUUAUUUGAGAUGCUAAUUAGGGGUUGAUUUUCCUGAUUUUUUUUUUACAAAAAAGUAACUAACAUUAUUUAACCGUAAGUUGCUUACUUUUGAUGCUAGAAACUCUUUUUAAAAAACAAAAAUAAAGCUUUUUUUAAACACUUUAAAAAAGUUGGAAUGAGUUUUCAUGAGCAUAUUCACUUGCAAAUGACUCGAAAAGUAUUAACUUAGUGAAAAAACGCUAUAGAAUAAAGGUUACUUAGAAUUAGUCAGUUUGUCCAUUUCAGGACUUAUUUUGAACGUAUAUUUUUUCACCCCGAGAAGGGGUGAAAGUCACCCCUAGGGCAAAAGUACCCAUCGGCACAAUAUCUCUUUUUUCUUUGACAUGUUAGCUAUGCUCCAACUGGUUCGUUAAAAUUUGGAGCAAAAACCGUUAGUAAAUGGACUAAAGUUAUUGACCGCCGAUAUUGAUUCGAAUAUUUUUGUGUCAUCUAAUAAGUUUUUUCUUUCUCUCUAUUUUCCCAUGUUUCUUAACUUUUCCUCAUACUACUGAAAGUUCUAAUUUUGAUAAAUAAUUUAUUAUAUACUGAAUGAUUGAGUGAAUUUAUUUAAUUAUUUUCUUGGAGCACAAGAUGAAUAAUCGUAAUUAUAAUCUAUUUUUAAUAUUGUGAUAAACAUUGUAUUUGAUUACACUUUUACUGUUAUCUCUUAAAAACAAUAAAUAUAUAUAUGUAGUUAAAAUUAA